rnacentral:rRNA from 1 species
UACGGAAGGGGCAAGCGUUGUUCGGAAUCAUUGGGCGUAAAGGGCGCGUAGGUGGUUCUGUAUGUCUACCGUGAAAGCAUACAGCUCAACUGUAUUUUGUCGGUAGAAACUGCAGGACUUGAGGCUGGGAGGGGCUGGUGGAAUUCCCUGUGUAGCGGUGAAAUGCGUAGAGAUGGGGGGAGAACACUCGUGGCGAAGGCGGCCAGCUAGACCAGUUCUGACACUGAGGCGCGAAAGCUAGGGGAGCAAACAGG